rnacentral:lncRNA from 10 species
ACAUAUGCCUUGAGUUGCUCUUCAGUGAAUAUCACUUUUCCUUUCAUGUUUUUUCUACAUGCUAUUAUCUGUAUGAAAUGAAGACCAAGAAAGGAUGGGAAGAAGGAGAAGAAAAAUUUUGAUUUAUCUCAGAAACUAUACUCCGAAGUGAGAGUCCUGGUUGCAGGUGCAACUGAAGGACUAUGGCUAUGGUAGCUGCCCAGGAAGACUGGCCAUCCGAUUCAUGCUUGUGCAGUCCUUGGACUUUUAGAUCUACCAGUUAUCUUCUUUUAAAAAAUUCCCCAGGAAAUUCAGCAGAGAUUGAGCAUCCCUGACCCACAGUGAUGGCUUCUCGUACUAUUGUUUAAUGGAAGGAGAUCCUUUUAGCAGAAAUCACUCAUGAUUUAGCAGUCUAGGAGCCAUCAUGAGGAAAGAGUUGGAGUGGAUGGUUUUAAUGCAGAUGGUCUCAAUAUGAUGGAUCAUCACAUUUUGGAGUUCUCAGUCCUGUGUACAAAGUCCAACUAUCUGAGGCCACCAUGCACUUAGGAUGUCCAGGCCACCUGGAGAGGCUACCAGAUAUGUGUAUGAAGAAGUUGUCUUGAAAGUGGAUCUUCCAGCCCAUGUUAUUCUAGCUACAGCUGUUUGAGUCUCCUUGUACAAGCCCCAGACAUCAUGGAAUGGAGAAGAGCUGAGCCACGGUGUCCUCUCCAAAUUCUCAAUCCACAAAACUCAUGAAAAUAAUAAAAUGAUUGUGUCUUUGUGCUACUAA